GUAGGGAAUAUUGGGCAAUGGUCGGAAGACUGACCCAGCCAUGCCGCGUGCAGGAAGACGGCCCUCUGGGUUGUAAACUGCUUUUAUCUGGGAAGAAAAAGGCCAUGCGUGGCAAAUUGCCGUUACCAGAUGAAUAAGCACCGGCUAACUCCGUGCCAGCAGCCGCGGUAAUACGGAGGGUGCGAGCGUUGUCCGGAUUUAUUGGGUUUAAAGGGUGCGUAGGCUGCUGAUAAAGUCAGCGGUGAAAGACUUCGGCUUAACCGGAGCAGUGCCGUUGAUACUGGUUGGCUUGAGUGUCGGAGGGAUACAUGGAAUUGAUGGUGUAGCGGUGAAAUGCAUAGAUACCAUCAGGAACACCGAUAGCGAAGGCAUUGUACUGGCCGACAACUGACGCUGAUGCACGAAAGUGUGGGGAUCGAACAGGAUUAGAAACCCUUGUAGUCC
rnacentral:rRNA from 1 species